GUGAGUGCUUCUUUCUGGCUCUCACGGAGUUCACCAAGGCAGUCUCUUGCACCCAUUGGCCAGCCACACUGGCAUCUAGAUCUGCUAUGUUAGAUGAUGUCUUCUAACCUUUCUUAAAGAACAUGACCGUUCAGGUCAUUCUACUCUCUUUCAUAGCUUGGAUCUAACAUGCUAUUACCAUUUCUUUGAGAGCCAACUCAAGUGUAUCUGUGGUCCAGGCCUGAAUCUUUGACUCAAGGAGGAAGCAGUCCAGUGCAGGGCAGUAAGGAAAGUUGUAUACUGUGGCCAACCUAAAGAGAUGGAGACUCUGCCUUCCCAGCUCACAAAAAUGUGGGGCGACUUUUCUGUCCACACCAAAUGUCAAUCCUACUCCCCAGACUCCAGGUUGUGGCAGCCUAGUCUACUGAAACUAAGUUUCACCAUACUCUGCAACU